ensembl:lncRNA
GAACACAGAUGCUGACAUCAACAUAGAUGCAGAAGAGGGAAUUUUAGAAGCCGGCAUCAUAGAUGCCAGUGAGAAAACAGAGUCUUUCUUCUGUCAGUCUGGUGUUGGGACUCACGGUGAGGCUCUUGAUCCUUUAGAACAAGAACACCCGCCAUCAUCUCCUACACCAGAUCACAUUCCAGAGAUCACAGUUGCCUCACUAGAUGUGCAUACAGAGAGUUCUAGCCUUGAGACAUACAACCCUGAAAUCGAACACUGUGAUGAAGUUGAACAAGGGACACAGGCUCACAUUCUCAGUUCCACCAUGGAACCAGAAGUAUCAAAUAUUAGUACCGACAUUUCUGAUGCAUUGCACAAUGAACAGACCAAACAGUCUGUUUCUCAAUCACUUACUAUGGAAAGCACAGAUACAUCGGAAAAAACAGCACAGUAUGACGACUGUGAAUCCACCUUCAAACUUCCAUAUCACACAGAAGAGGCGAAUGUAAAACAGGGUGCCUCGAAACAGAAGAGAAAGAUGGGGUCAACCCGCAGGACAAAGAGAGAACAGAAAAGGGAAGAGACAAGUGAAGUCAUGAGUACAGAUGGAGACUAUGCCAAUGAGGACAUCAAUGUCAAAAUGAACACAGAUGCUGACAUCAAGUAGAUGCAGAAGAGGGAAUUUUAGAAGCCGGCAUCAUAGAUGCCUUAAAGGAAAAUGAGCCUUCCACCACUCAGACAGACGUUGGGAUCUCAAGAUGGCUUUGAGCUGUGUUGAACAGGACCGGUAUGUUGACUGCAGCCCGUCAGCUGAAGUGAUGUCAUCAUCUGUCCCACAAUGCAAUCCACUGGAGGAUGGGCAAAAACAAGACAACCAACAUCAGUGCCUUGAUAUUACUGCACAACAAUUAGAUGGUAAUGAUGCCGCAAAUCUAGAGGCUGACAAUGAGAUAUCUAUAUUGGGAAAGGAAACAUCAGAGGCCUCACAACAAGCGAAGCAGAGCCUUUUAAUGAAGCGCUCAUGAGUAAAGAUGUUGACCAGCUCAAAAAGCAUGAGGAGGAAAAGGCAGAAAAGAGUCUUGAGUCCCUUGGUGACCAGAACAAGGAAGACAGUAUAAGCCUGAGUGUAUCAGAACAGGCAGAAGCUGUGAAUCGGUUAUCAUCUCCUACAGAAGUUCACAGUCCAGAUUGUGCAGGCAUCACAGUUGAGGAUGUACGUGCCAGUGAGAAAACAGAGUCUUUCUUCUGUCAGUCUGGUGUUGGGACUCACGGUGAGGCUCUUGAUCCUUUAGAACAAGAACACCCGCCAUCAUCUCCUACACCAGAUCACAUUCCAGAGAUCGCAGUUGCCUCACUGAAUGUGCGUACAGAGAGUUCUAGCCCCGAGACAUACAACCCUGAAAUCCAACACUGUGAUGAAGUUGAAAAAGGGACACAGGCUCACAUUCUCAGUUCCUCUAUGGAACCAGAAGUUUCAAAUAUUAGUACCGACAUUUCUGAUGCAUUGCACAAUGAAC